rnacentral:rRNA from 1 species
CCUACGGGAGGCAGCAGUCGAGAAUAAUUCACAAUGGGGGAAACCCUGAUGGUGCGACGCCGCGUGGGGGAAUGAAGGUCUUCGGAUUGUAAACCCCUGUCAUGUGGGCGCAAAUUAAAAAGAUAGUACCACAAGAGGCAGAGACGGCUAACUCUGUGCCAGCCGCCGCGGUAAUACAGGGGUCUCAAGCGUUGUUCGGAAUCACUGGGCGGAAAGCGUGCGUAGGCUGUUUCGUAAGUCGUGUGUGAAAGGCGCGGGCUCAACCCGCGGACGGCACAUGAUACUGCGAGACUAGAGUAAUGGAGGGGGAACGGGAAUUCGCGGUGUAGCGGGGAAAUGGGUAG